GACUCGAGCUAAUACGUGCAGUUCAUUGGCUCGUCUUCGGACGAGUCAAAGCAUUUAUUAGACUAAACCAUCUACUAUGCUCGCAUAGUAAGGGGAAUCUAGAUAACUUUGCUGAUCGUAUGGCCUAGUGCCGGCGACGUUUCAAUUGAGUUUCUGCCCUAUCAACUUGUUGGUAAGGUAUUGGCUUACCAAGGUUGCAACGGGUAACGGGGAAUCAGGGUUCGAUUCCGGAGAGGGAGCCUGAGAAACGGCUACCACAUCCAAGGAAGGCAACAGGCGCGCAAAUUACCCAAUCUAGACAGUAGGAGGUGGUGAAGAGAAUUACUAGGUGGUGACUCAAUGAGUUACCAGUUUGGAAUGAACGUAACUUAAGAAAUUCGAUGAGAAACAACUGGAGGGCAAGUCCUGGUGCCAGCAGCCGCGGUAAUUCCAGCUCCAGUAGUUUGCUUUAAAGUUGUUGCGUUUAAAACGCUCGUAGUUGGAUCACGCAGCAGUGCCCAGUAAUCUACUAUUCGACGUAUCACUGAAAACCACUUGUGUGGCCUUUCAUGAGCUGUCAUUAGCAGAUACCAACGCUGAGCACUGUUAGUUGCACGUGAGAUGAAUUGUUGGCCUUUAUUGAGCCGGUAUUCUCGUCUUGCGGAGUGUGCCUUGAAUAAAACAGAGUGCUUAAAGCAGGUCGUUGCCUGAAUGUUAUAGCAUGGAACGAACAAUCGUGUAUAUGUGUGUAUCCUAGAUUGGUGACGAGCCUUAGGCUUGUUGUUGAUCUGGAUGCAUACGGCACCCACCUAAAUAUGGCUGUUGGUUCCAUAUACGGUGAUGAUUAAAAGGAGCGGUUGGGGGCAUCGGUAUUUGGCCGCGAGAGGUGAAAUUCUUAGACCGGCCAAGGACUAACAAAUGCAAAGGCACUUGUCUAGACCGUUUCCAUUAAUCAAGAACGAAAGUGGGAGGUUCGAAGACGAUCAGAUACCGUCCUAGUUCCCACCGUAAACUAUGCCGACCUGGGAUCAGUUUAGAGAUGUUACAAGCUCUAGAUUGGUCCCCCUGGGAAACCUCAAGUUUUUCGGUUACGGGGAGAGUAUGGUCGCAAGGCUGAAACUUAAAGGAAUUGACGGAAGGGCACCACCAGGGGUGGAGCCUGCGGCUUAAUUUGACUCAACACGGGGAAACUUACCUGGUCCGGACAUCGAUAGGAUUAACAGAUCAAUAGCUCUUUUAUGAUGCGAUGAGUGGUGGUGCAUGGCCGUUCUUAGUUCGUGGAGUGAUCUGUCGGCCUAAUCGCGGUAACGAACGAGACCAUAAUCUCCAUUUAAGAGAUAGAAGCAGACGUCUGUGCGAGUGGAGUCGCAAGAUUUCACCCGUCGGGUGUUGCAGGUUGCAUUGUGCGUCGCAUUGUCAAAGUGUAGGGGCAACCUGAAACUUUGGUGGUGUGGUGUGCUUUGUUCCCUUCUAUUGAGCAGCAAUCGGUCUCGACUGGUUGUUGCCUUAUGGAGAGACAACGAGGUAUAUACAAGCUCGAGGAAGAGUGGCUAUAACAGGUCAGUGAUGCCCUUCGAUGCUC
rnacentral:rRNA from 1 species